GACGAACGCUGGCGGCGUGCUUAACACAUGCAAGUCGAACGGAAAGGCCCUGCUUUUGUGGGGUGCUCGAGUGGCGAACGGGUGAGUAGCACGUGAGUAACCUGCCCUUGACUUUGGGAUAACUUCAGGAAACUGGGGCUAAUACCGGAUAGGAGCUCCUGCUGCAUGGUGGGGGUUGGAAAGUUUCGGCGGUUGGGGAUGGACUCGCGGCUUAUCAGCUUGUUGGUGGGGUAGUGGCCUACCAAGGCUUUGACGGGUAGCCGGCCUGAGAGGGUGACCGGCCACAUUGGGACUGAGAUACGGCCCAGACUCCUACGGGAGGCAGCAGUGGGGAAUAUUGCACAAUGGGCGGAAGCCUGAUGCAGCAACGCCGCGUGCGGGAUGACGGCCUUCGGGUUGUAAACCGCUUUCGCCUGUGACGAAGCGUGAGUGACGGUAAUGGGUAAAGAAGCACCGGCUAACUACGUG
rnacentral:rRNA from 1 species